UACAACGUAAAAGUGGAGAAGGAUAAAAGGGUGAGAGAAAGUAAAGCAGAGAGAGAAGAAGAAUGGCAAGCGGAGGAGGCCACCUUAUCAGGUGCUCCCUCACCACUCCCACUCCCAAUCCCACUCUCACAGCCACUCCACCACCCUUCCUUCUCUCAGAGUCUAUUAUCUCAACCAAAACACCUCGAAGAAAUGCCAUCUUCCUCUCCAUUAUCUCCUCUCUCAUCACCACCCCUACUCCUUCCCAGGCUUUCUCUCUCGGCAUCCCGGGACCCAAGGAAUGGCUGAAAGAGCAAAAGAAGAAAGCUUCCAAGUUCCUCUUAGCUCCCAUUGAUUCCUCACGUCAAACUCUCCACUCUACCUUUUCAUUACUCUCUGCGAUGGAUUCAGGAUCUUCUACCACAACGACAGACCUGGAACAAGUCCAGACGCAGCUGAAAUCUGCAGCAAGGGACUGCGUUCCACAACAGAGGAACUCAUUUGUCGCGUUUCAAGCCCAAACUGGAGUUGAGGUUUGCACAUUCCGUUUGAUUGUGAAAAAUGCAUCUUCAUUACUUGAUGACAAAGAUCCUGUUAAGUUGGAAGCUGAGGCUAUGUUGGAUAAUCUUAUAAGAUCAUUUAGCUUCCUUGAUGAUGUGAUAAGCAGUAGCGAUCUUCAACUUGCCUCCGAUAGGCAGAAGUUGGAAGACUGCCUGAUGGAUACGAUAACUUCCAUUGACAAAUUUGAGCAGGGCAUCAAGGACUGCCUCGAUGUUUGACCCACUUAUCUUCAUUAUAAAUGAACUUCUCUGGCAUACAUCAUGCCAGGAAGUCUGUUUCAGAUGGCAGCAUAUAUAUUAGUAUCAGGAAGCAGCACAAGUUAUGCUUUCAGUGCGACAUGGUUCUUGCAACGGCUACUAGCUUAGUGGAGUCCCUUAUCUGCAGAAAGGAAAAAUCACAAGGAAGAAUGGGAAAAGCUUGCACAACCAUCGUCAAAAAGUAAAGAAUUGAAUACCAACAAAAGAAUUGACCUUGAUCCACACCUCUGCAAGCUUAGCUAUCAACAAUCACUUCACUUUCCUAUGAACCUGUGAGGCACCAAAGAAAUAGACAGGGUCCACGAUAUUGGAAGGCUCUGAAGAAGAUUUAUCAUUAACAUAAUCAAAUGGUAGAUUCGUCACUUGGACGGGGUUUGCAUUCCUAAUAACAAGAAUGUAUAUAAUUGCAGUUAUACUUGAGAGCUGAGACUAACACACAUGUAUUGUAUAUAUUAUCAUAUAUUGCCCAUCUUCUAUAAGGUGAUCUGGUCGGGUGAGCCAGAGGCCUGGACCAAAUACAGGCGACGGCAUGGUGUGCCGUCCUCUGGGUGGAUCUGAACUGAUCUGGGCAGCUGCCUGAGCUUGUUGAAUAUGUUUUGGGGAUCAUGCAUGAGCCCAAAAUUGGCGUCAGGGUCUCCAAUCUGUGAAACCUUAACGUGGGAGAACCCAAGGGAUGGGAGGAGGUCAUCGGGCCAAUCGCUAUAGAAAUGAAAUGUGGACUCAGAGAGUGUCGUCGAGGAUUUGUUCAUGAAGUCUGCAAGGAGGAUGGUGUGGGUAAAUGCACACUUAGCAGCUAUGGACUUUAGGACCUGCAUGGCAUGGAGGUGAGAAAGGUAAUAGAGGAGGCCUUCAAGUACCCAAAUGGUAUUCUUUGCAGGCACAAAGCCGCUUCUCUGAAGCUUCUCGAUCCAGUCGUCGUCUCUGAUGUCAGCAGCAACCCUGGUUAGGGACUUGGCAAUCAUCGUUGGCUGUUGGUGAUCACCAGAUCCUAUUGCCGCCUGUAGAAGAGCUGCCUUAGUUUGCAGGAGCUUGGGGAAGUCCACUUCGUAAACAGUGCUUUCCUUUAAGCAAUUCAGACGGUAUGCCCUCGCAUCCAUGCCUGUGAAGUGAAAAAAAAUAAAAUAAAAUCGGAUUGCCAACUGGAAUGAAAGGAAUGCUAGAAUUUUUGAGAUCUCAUCGGCAGGGGGAAUUUGGAGGAUCCUCACAUGAUUGUCAACUAAGUGCUCGCCAAUGAAAAAUUUAGGGGCCUCUCCAAACUGGCUCUGUCAGGCAAUUGGGAGAGUUUCUGGCUGUCUAGGUGUUUGGCCUUUAAUGUGUCAUGGAUUUUUCGGUGGGCUCUAAGCUUUCAGUGACUAGGGGACACUGCUGUAUUAGGCCACCUUAUAUGUAGUAUUUUCUGCUGUUUUUGAAUGAUUGAUUAAAAUUGUCUUUUUA